rnacentral:rRNA from 1 species
UUUUUGGCCUUAUUGAGGCUAGUAUGAACGGACAAACGUAAUUCUCCCUGUAUCAUUUUUAUAAUAUAUAAAUUAUACUUCAAGUGAAGAUACUUGAAUAAACUUGAAAGACAAGAAGACCCUAUAGAGUUUUAGUAGAGCCCCACCACUCCGCUCCACUCUACUUUGGUUGGGGCGACCUAGGAUUAAUAAAAACAUCCUUUUAUAAAAAGAGUUUAUAUCUCAUAUUAAAGACCCUAAAUUUCAGAUUCUUAAAAUUAACUACCUUAGGGAUAACAGGCUCAUCUUCCUAAAGAGUUCAAAUUGACAGGAAGGUUUGGCACCUCGAUGUUGGCUUAGGAAAAAUUUGG